UUAUUAACAGGAGAGAAAUCAACUAUUUACAGAGACCAACACAAAUCACAUCGGGGCAUUUGGAGAUCGGUGUUGCUUCCCCAGCUGCCAUGCUGGACAAUGCUGUGCCUCUCUGAUUCUGCUGUUCAGGUAUUGUCCAGUGUGUUGAACAGAACGGAUUGUUGUUAGAAAGAAAGGUAAAGCUUCUCACUGCAGACAUGCCUAUGGUGGGAUGCUGUUCACAGGAGAAUGGUGUUUGAGCCAGACUGGGUACUGUGAGACCUUCCUGACACGCCAAAAGGCUGCGCUGACAUUCAGCAAGACCUGGACAGAAUGGAGAGUUGAGCGGAGAGGAAACUGAUGAGGGUCAGCAAGUGCAAAUGUAGAGUCCUGCACCUGGGGAGGAACAACUGCAUGCAGCAGUUUGGCCAUGAGCCAGCAGUGUGCCCUGGUGGCCAAGAAGGCCAGUGGUAUCCUGGGGUGCAUUACAAAGAGCAUGGCCAGCAGGACGACAGAGGUGAUCCUCCCCCCUCCACUCUGCCCUGGUGAGGCCAUACCUGGAGCACUGUGCCCAGUUCUGGGCUCCCC
ensembl:lncRNA